UGGGGAAUAUUGCACAAUGGGCGCAAGCCUGAUGCAGCCAUGCCGCGUGUAUGAAGAAGGCCUUCGGGUUGUAAAGUACCUUCAGCGGGGCGGAAGGGAGUAAAGUUAAUACCUUUGCUCAUUGACGUUACCCGCAGAAGAAGCACCGGCUAACCCCGUGCCAGCAGCCGCGGUAAUACGGAGGGUGCAAGCGUUGAUCGGAAUUACUGGGCGUAAAGCGCACGCAGGCGGUUUGUUAAGUCAGAUGUGAAAUCCCCGGGCUCAACCUGGGGACUGCAUCUGAUACUGGCAAGCUUGAGUCUCGUAGAGGGGGGUAGAAUUCCAGGUGUAGCGGUGAAAUGCGUAGAGAUCUGGAGGAAUACCGGUGGCGAAGGCGGCCCCCUGGACGAAGACUGACGCUCAGGUGCGAAAGCGUGGGGAGCAAACAGG
rnacentral:rRNA from 1 species